UACGUAGGGCGCAAGCGUUAUCCGGAAUUAUUGGGCGUAAAGAGCUCGUAGGCGGUUUGUCGCGUCUGCCGUGAAAGUCCGGGGCUCAACUCCGGAUCUGCGGUGGGUACGGGCAGACUAGAGUGAUGUAGGGGAGACUGGAAUUCCUGGUGUAGCGGUGAAAUGCGCAGAUAUCAGGAGGAACACCGGUGGCGAAGGCGGGUCUCUGGGCAGUAACUGACGCUGAGGAGCGAAAUCGUGGGGAGCGAACAGG
rnacentral:rRNA from 1 species